GGGUGGAUUAGUGGCGAACGGGUGAGUAACACGUGAGUAACCUGCCCUUAACUCUGGGAUAAGCCUGGGAAACUGGGUCUAAUACCGGAUAGGAGCGCCUACCGCAUGGUGGGUGUUGGAAAGAUUUAUCGGUUUUGGAUGGACUCGCGGCCUAUCAGCUUGUUGGUGAGGUAAUGGCUCACCAAGGCGACGACGGGUAGCCGGCCUGAGAGGGUGACCGGCCACACUGGGACUGAGACACGGCCCAGACUCCUACGGGAGGCAGCAGUGGGGAAUAUUGCACAAUGGGCGAAAGCCUGAUGCAGCGACGCCGCGUGAGGGAUGACGGCCUUCGGGUUGUAAACCUCUUUCAGUAGGGAAGAAGCGAAAGUGACGGUACCUGCAGAAGAAGCACCGGCUAACUACGUGCCAGCAGCCGCGGUAAUACGUAGGGUGCGAGCGUUAUCCGGAAUUAUUGGGCGUAAAGAGCUCGUAGGCGGUUUGUCGCGUCUGUCGUGAAAGUCCGGGGCUUAACCCCGGAUCUGCGGUGGGUACGGGCAGACUAGAGUGCAGUAGGGGAGACUGGAAUUCCUGGUGUAGCGGUGGAAUGCGCAGAUAUCAGGAGGAACACCGAUGGCGAAGGCAGGUCUCUGGGCUGUAACUGACGCUGAGGAGCGAAAGCAUGGGGAGCGAACAGGAUUAGAUACCCUGGUAGUCCAUGCCGUAAACGUUGGGCACUACGUGUGGGGACCAUUCCACGGUUUCCGCGCCGCAUCUAACGCAUUAAGUGCCCCGCCUGGGGAGUACGGCCGCAAGGCUAAACUCAAAGGAAUUGACGGGGGCCCGCACAAGCGGCGGAGCAUGCGGAUUAAUUCGAUGCAACGCGAAAAACUUACCAAGGC
rnacentral:rRNA from 1 species